AACGAACGCUGGCGGCGUGCCUAACACAUGCAAGUCGAGCGGGAAAGUCCGCAAGGAUGAGUACAGCGGCGCACGGGUGCGUAACACGUGGGUAAUCUGCCCUGAAGCUCGGGAUAACUCGCCGAAAGGCGUGCUAAUACCGGAUAAGACCACGGGAGCCUCGGCUCCUGCGGGAAAAGGUGGCCUCUGCAUGCAAGCUAUCACUUCAGGAUGAGCCCGCGGCCCAUCAGCUCGUUGGCGGGGUAACGGCCCACCAAGGCUACGACGGGUAGCUGGUCUGAGAGGACGAUCAGCCACACUGGAACUGAGACACGGUCCAGACUCCUACGGGAGGCAGCAGUGGGGAAUCUUGCGCAAUGGGCGAAAGCCUGACGCAGCAACGCCGCGUGUGUGAUGAAGGUCUUCGGAUCGUAAAGCACUGUCGGGAGGGACGAAUAAGGGCCGGGUGAACAAUCCGGUUCGAUGACGGUACCUCCAAAGGAAGCACCGGCUAACUCUGUGCCAGCAGCCGCAGUAACAC
rnacentral:rRNA from 1 species